rnacentral:rRNA from 1 species
UACAGAGGGUGCAAGCGUUGUUCGGAAUUAUUGGGCGUAAAGCGCGUGUAGGCGGCUUUGCAAGUCGGGUGUGAAAUCCCUCAGCUCAACUGAGGAAGUGCGCCCGAAACUGCAGAGCUUGAAUAUCGGAGAGGAUGGCAGAAUUCCCCAAGUAGAGGUGAAAUUCGUAGAUAUGGGGAGGAACACCGGUGGCGAAGGCGGCCAUCUGGACGACUAUUGACGCUGAGACGCGAAAGCAUGGGGAGCAAACAGG